rnacentral:rRNA from 1 species
AGAGUUUGAUCAUGGCUCAGGAUGAACGCUGGCGGUAUGCUUAACACAUGCAAGUCGAACGGAAUACUUCGGUAUUUAGUGGCGGACGGGUGAGUAACGCGUAAGAAUCUGGCUCCAGGUUCGGGACAACAGAUGGAAACGUCUGCUAAUACCGGAUGUGCCGAGAGGUGAAAGCUUUAGUGCCUGGAGAUGAGCUUGCGUCUGAUUAGCUAGUUGGAGUGGUAACGGCACACCAAGGCGACAAUCAGUAACUGGUCUGAGAGGAUGACCAGUCACACUGGGACUGAGACACGGCCCAGACUCCUACGGGAGGCAGCAGUGGGGAAUUUUCCGCAAUGGGCGAAAGCCUGACGGAGCAAUACCGCGUGAGGGACGAAGGUCUGUGGAUUGUAAACCUCUUUUGUCAGGGACGAUAAUGACGGUACCUGACGAAUAGCU